rnacentral:rRNA from 1 species
CAACCGAGUUGUAAUUUGGAGACGGGACACUAGAGAGGAGGAAGGCGAUUAAGUGCCUUGGAACAGGCUGCCGUAGAGGGUGAGAGCCCCGUGAAUCGCUGGAGACCGAUCAAUUAGUGCCCGCCGAAGAGUCGAGUUGUUUGGGAAUGCAGCUCUAAGUGGGUGGUAUAUUCCAUCUAAGGCUAAAUAUUAGCGAGAGACCGAUAGCAAACAAGUACAGUGAUGGAAAGAUGAAAAGAACUUUGGAAAGAGAGUGAAAUAGUACGUGAAAUUGUUGAAAGGGAAGGGUAUUUGAUCCGACAUGGUGUUUAGCAGCGGCCCGUUCCUCGUGGAUGGGUGCACCUGGUUUACACUGGGCCAGCAUCGGUUCUGGGAG